rnacentral:rRNA from 1 species
CCAGCACCCCGAGUGGUCGGACGAUUAUUGGGCCUAAAGCAUCCGUAGCCGGUUUUACAAGUCCUCCGUUAAAUCCAACUGCUUAACAGAUGGGCCGCGGAGGAUACUAUAAGACUAGGAGGCAGGAGAGGCAAGCGGUACUCAGUGGGUAGGGGUAAAAUCCGUUGAUCCAUUGAAGACCACCAGUGGCGAAGGCGGCUUGCCAGAAUGCGCUCGACGGUGGGGGAUGAAAGCUGGGGGAGCAAACCGGAUUAGAUACCCGGGUAGUCCCAGCUGUAAACGAUGCAGACUCGGUGAUGGACUAGCUUUAUGCUAGUCCAGUGCCGCAGGGAAGCCGUUAAGUCUGCCGCCUGGGUAGUACGGUCGCAAGACUG